GCUUCAUCAGCAAGACACAAGAACCAGCAAGGCAUGAAGACAAAGCCCCCUCUCUAAAUUUGUUAAAUGCGAAUUUGGUGUUUAUAUGCUUUGCCCUGAGAUGGACGACCCAGAGUGAAAGUUAAGCGACUAAGAAGGUGGACGGACAUAUCUCAUUACAAUCCCUUUAUGAGGCCGGGAGCAGGAAGUGCGCUGUCUUUCCUGUCGCCGGCGUCUAAAAGACAGCGCUUUUCAACGCUUCUCGACACUCUCCGCUUUCAGAGAGAGGGGGACAGGAGACAGAGCGACAAUGCGUGGCGUGAUUAGGAUGCAAGGGUUGUUGGCUCCCCUCUCGACUCAAGGCUAUGCGUUUCUCUCUACCCGGGGAUCAAUAUGAGAUUGUGAAAAACAAGACCUUGUUGUUUUGAAGAACUUUUGUCUCUCGUCCAGGCUUGUGGGGACCGUAGGCUUUAGCCUACUUCUUCUUUUUUUCCAGAGAUGUCCACUACCAGCAGACCCACCGUCGGGACUCCCCAGUUAACGACAGACGAGCUGACCGUCAUAGUGGCCUCAUUGUCCUGUCUGGUCUUCUUCCUGGUGAUCAUGGUGCUCCUGUGUAUGCUGUACCGCAGGGACCCCCUCUGCUGUAAGGUCCGAGAGUACCAGGGAUCACACACAGACCUGUCUACACCUCCCCAGUAUUACAGCAGCACACAAACACUGGUCGGCCCACGAUGCUCUCAAGAAUCCCUGAGCCAUGAGAAUACCUACAGACAGUCAGAUUCGCUGUUCCUGAUUGGCCUGCCCUCCAGCUACGGCCUGCCCUCUUUGGCUGUCCCUCGCCUGCCGUCCUAUGAGAGCGUCCGAAAGAAGGACCGGCAGCGUCAGAUCCACAUGAUGAUCGCCGACCGCUUCGGCCUCAACGGGCCCUACAUCCCUGAGGUGAUUGAUCAAUCCGUCAGCCAAUCAAUACGUCACAUGAUGAUCGCCGACCGCUCCGGCCUCAACGGACCCUACAUCCCUGAGCCUCCACCGUCCUAUGAAGAGAGCAUCCACCAGGCCGUGGAGAUCCCUUGUGCCGUGAUUGGUCCUUUACAUGGCUCCAGUGAUGUGAUUGGUUCCUCAGAGGUCUGCUGUAGCGUGAUUGGUCCUUCGGAGGCCCCCGGUGAUGUGAUUGGUCCUUCAGAGGUGUCCUGUGAUGUAAAUGGUCUGUCCAUUCCUCCCUGUGAUGUCACUGGUCCUGUGGAAGCUCCCCGUGACAGGAUUGACCAAUUGAACGCUCCCCUGCACGUGAUUGGUCCAUUGAACGCUCCGCCUGACAGGAUUGGUCCAUUGAACGCUCCCCUGCACGUGAUUGGUCCAUUGAACGCUCCCCUGCACGUGAUUGGUCCAGCAGGGGCCUCUUCACCAGCCACCAGCCCUCCCUAAAAUACACACGGACACAGACAUUUACCCUGUGUGAACAUACACACACACACACACACACACACACACACAGACACAGACACAGACACAGACACAGACACAGACA
ensembl:lncRNA